rnacentral:rRNA from 1 species
AUACGGAGGAUGCAAGCGUUGUCCGGAAUUACUGGGCGUAAAGGGUCCGUAGGCGGUUGGCCAAGCAUCUUGUGAAAUCCCUCGGCUCAACCGAGGAAUGGCCAGAUGAACUGGUUGACUUGAGCUGCACAGGGGCGACUGGAACUCUAGGUGGAGCGGUGAAAUGCGUAGAUAUCUAGAGGAACGCCGGUGGUGAAAACGGGUCGCUGGGUGCAUGCUGACGCUGAGGUGCGAAAGCGUGGGGAGCGAACGGGAUUAGAAACCCCAGUAGUCC